rnacentral:rRNA from 1 species
CGGGACACGUGGUAUCCUGUCUGAAUAUGGGGGGACCAUCCUCCAAGGCUAAAUACUCCUGACUGACCGAUAGUGAACCAGUACCGUGAGGGAAAGGCGAAAAGAACCCCGGCGAGGGGAGUGAAAAAGAACCUGAAACCGUGUACGUACAAGCAGUGGGAGCACAGAGCAAUCUGUGUGACUGCGUACCUUUUGUAUAAUGGGUCAGCGACUUAUAUUCUGUAGCAAGGUUAACCGAAUAGGGGAGCCGAAGGGAAACCGAGUCUUAACUGGGCGUUAAGUUGCAGGGUAUAGACCCGAAACCCGGUGAUCUAGCCAUGGGCAGGUUGAAGGUUGGGUAACACUAACUGGAGGACCGAACCGACUAAUGUUGAAAAAUUAGCGGAUGACUUGUGGCUGGGGGUGAAAGGCCAAUCAAACCGGGAGAUAGCUGGUUCUCCCCGAAAGCUAUUUAGGUAGCGCCUCGUGAAUUCAUCUCCGGGGGUAGAGCACUGUUUCGGCAAGGGGGUCAUCCCGACUUACCAACCCGAUGCAAACUACGAAUACCGGAGAAUGUUAUCACGGGAGACACACGGCGGGUGCUAACGUCCGUCGUGAAGAGGGAAACAACCCAGACCGCCAGCUAAGGUCCCAAAGUCAUGGUUAAGUGGGAAACGAUGUGGGAAGGCCCAGACAGCCAGGAUGUUGGCUUAGAAGCAGCCAUCAUUUAAAGAAAGCGUAAUAGCUCACUGGUCGAGUCGGCCUGCGCGGAAGAUGUAACGGGGCUAAACCAUGCACCGAAGCUGCGGCAGCGACGCUGAUGCGUUGUUGGGUAGGGGAGCGUUCUGUAAGCCUGCGAAGGUGUGCUGUGAGGCAUGCUGGAGGUAUCAGAAGUGCGAAUGCUGACAUAAGUAACGAUAAAGCGGGUGAAAAGCCCGCUCGCCGGAAGACCAAGGGUUCCUGUCCAACGUUAAUCGGGGCAGGGUGAGUCGACCCCUAAGGCGAGGCCGAAAGGCGUAGUCGAUGGGAAACAGGUUAAUAUUCCUGUACUUGGUGUUACUGCGAAGGGGGGACGGAGAAGGCUAUGUUGGCCGGGCGACGGUUGUCCCGGUUUAAGCGUGUAGGCUGGUUUUCCAGGCAAAUCCGGAAAAUCAAGGCUGAGGCGUGAUGACGAGGCACUACGGUGCUGAAGCAACAAAUGCCCUGCUUCCAGGAAAAGCCUCUAAGCAUCAGGUAACAUCAAAUCGUACCCCAAACCGACACAGGUGGUCAGGUAGAGAAUACCAAGGCGCUUGAGAGAACUCGGGUGAAGGAACUAGGCAAAAUGGUGCCGUAACUUCGGGAGAAGGCACGCUGAUAUGUAGGUGAAGUCCCUCGCGGAUGGAGCUGAAAUCAGUCGAAGAUACCAGCUGGCUGCAACUGUUUAUUAAAAACACAGCACUGUGCAAACACGAAAGUGGACGUAUACGGUGUGACGCCUGCCCGGUGCCGGAAGGUUAAUUGAUGGGGUUAGCGCAAGCGAAGCUCUUGAUCGAAGCCCCGGUAAACGGCGGCCGUAACUAUAACGGUCCUAAGGUAGCGAAAUUCCUUGUCGGGUAAGUUCCGACCUGCACGAAUGGCGUAAUGAUGGCCAGGCUGUCUCCACCCGAGACUCAGUGAAAUUGAACUCGCUGUGAAGAUGCAGUGUACCCGCGGCAAGACGGAAAGACCCCGUGAACCUUUACUAUAGCUUGACACUGAACAUUGAGCCUUGAUGUGUAGGAUAGGUGGGAGGCUUUGAAGUGUGGACGCCAGUCUGCAUGGAGCCGACCUUGAAAUACCACCCUUUAAUGUUUGAUGUUCUAACGUUGACCCGUAAUCCGGGUUGCGGACAGUGUCUGGUGGGUAGUUUGACUGGGGCGGUCUCCUCCUAAAGAGUAACGGAGGAGCACGAAGGUUGGCUAAUCCUGGUCGGACAUCAGGAGGUUAGUGCAAUGGCAUAAGCCAGCUUGACUGCGAGCGUGACGGCGCGAGCAGGUGCGAAAGCAGGUCAUAGUGAUCCGGUGGUUCUGAAUGGAAGGGCCAUCGCUCAACGGAUAAAAGGUACUCCGGGGAUAACAGGCUGAUACCGCCCAAGAGUUCAUAUCGACGGCGGUGUUUGGCACCUCGAUGUCGGCUCAUCACAUCCUGGGGCUGAAGUAGGUCCCAAGGGUAUGGCUGUUCGCCAUUUAAAGUGGUACGCGAGCUGGGUUUAGAACGUCGUGAGACAGUUCGGUCCCUA